UACAGAGGUCUCAAGCGUUGUUCGGAAUCACUGGGCGUAAAGGGUGCGUAGGCGGCGUGGAAAGUCAGAUGUGAAAUCCGGGGGCUCAACCUCCGAAUUGCAUCCGAUACUCCCAUGCUGGAGAACUGGAGGGGAGUCUGGAAUUCUCGGUGUAGCAGUGAAAUGCAUGGAUAUCGAGAGGAACACUAGUGGCGAAGGCGAGACUCUGGACAGUAUCUGACGCUGAUGCACGAAGGCCAGGGGAGCGAAC
rnacentral:rRNA from 1 species